GGGGGCGGGAGGGCAGGCAGGAGGGCGUCCCGCGGGGACCUGUCUGUGGCUGAGCGUCUCCCCUGCUCUCUGGGUCCCGGGAGUUCCCUCGCUGUGUGACCCUCAGCAAGUGUGCGCACCUCUCUGAGCCUCGGCGGCCUGUAGCAAAAUGGAGGAGCUCGUACCGGCUGUGAGACAAAAUAGGAGCGGCAUAAGACAGGCAUGUUCUGCUCCACGUGGUAGGCUAUAACCACCACACAAUGCCAGAAUUUACCUGGGACCACUUCAAGGCUGACUUGACUCUCUCCUGGUCUGGAUUCCAAGUUUCUAGACGAGAGAAGCGGAUUGGCCCAGUUUGGGU